rnacentral:misc_RNA from 1 species
UUUGAAAAGUAGUAAAGAUGGUUGCAUUAGUCAGGGGAGAAAACAAACACUACUCUCUUCUGCUAAGCAGGUUGUGGAAUCAAGUACCGAGUACUAUCCAGUAGGUGAACCGAUGAAGAAGGUCGGAGCUGCCAUGCAAGCUGCUGGUGAAGCUGUUUAUGUAGAUGACAUCCCUUCACCGCCAAACUGCCUGUAUGGAGCAUUUAUAUACAGUACGAAA